AACGAAGCCCCCGCCAAAGGUAUUAUUGUUUGCGCUCGCUCGCGUGCGGGAGUCGUCGGUACACGCACCGGCAGGCGCACAGAAACGCAUCGCGGCGCAUUGACACUCAGCAGCAGUCGUCCACCGCGUUCACCCCACGUAGCCGCUUCCGCAGAUCCUCUGCGAUGGACUACUGGGAGUGGAAGACGGAUGGGGCAGGACUGGAGGUGGACGAGGUGUGCAUCACCGUCCAGCACGGUGUGACCCUCUACGACAAAAAUGAGAAGACGCAGCGACAGAAUGGCAAGCUGUCGCUGACGACGCACCACCUUAGGUACAACGACGAGGCUGAUAUCUCGACGGUGUUGCAGCUGCCGCUGGAGCUGGUCCGGCGCUCUGGACAGGCACCGAGCAUCUCCAGUGGCUUCAGCCCCUUUUCGAGCGCGAAGAUCAUUGUACCACUGCCGCAGAACGCGUACGUGAAGUUGUCUUUCCGCAGCGGUGGUGUCGACAACUUUUAUGCCGCCCUUGUAGGUGCCCUUGAAAAAAAGGCGUGGCUGCAGACGAAGACAAAAGCGGCGGCGAGCGGAGGAGGUAGCAGCAGCGGUGCAAGUCCUGCGUCGGCGACGCCGGUACCUAGCCCGAGUCCGUCACCGCCCGUCCCACGCGGGUUUGGUAUCGCUGGCGUCCAGCAAGCCUCCGCACAGUCUGCCGCCAUGAGCGAGACCUUGAAAGACAUCGACGAUGUCAUGAACAAAGCCUCGAAGCUCGUGAACGACAUCCGGCGCCUGCGCGAGCGCAGCGAGGCGGCUGCAGCGGCGGGAUCGGACGCCGGAAGUGAGACCGCUGUGGAGAGAACAACAAUCGAGAGCAUCGAGUCCACGCUCGGGCUGGGAGCCAUCGUGACGCGCAACCACAGCAAUGGCAGCGACUCUCGCUUCCACAGAGACUUGGCGGUGGAGAUGCACACCUGGAUGACGCACGAAAGCAACUCGAAGCUCUUCAACGAUAUGCCGGUGGUUCCUCUCAUUGAGCUAUUCGCCCUGUACAACAAGGCGCGCGGCGGGGACUUGGUGUCGCCGCUAGAUGUGCUGCAUGCGUGCACGUACAUGGCGGCAAAGAUGUCAGGCAGCUGCUACGACCUCGUCACGCUGCCGUCUGGGCGCAAGGCGCUGGUGAAUCGCGACGACUCGCUGCUGCUGGCAAAACUCACCACGGUGCUGGGGCCUCAGCUGGUGAACGCCAAAGGCUCGUCUGUGCAGGACGCGUGGAAGAAGACGUCGUCGCAUCGGCAGCAGCAGCGCAGCGGCGAUGCAUCUUCCCUGGUGCGUGUCCCCACCACCAGCGACUUCCCAAAGGCCUCGAGAGAUCUGAAAUCCGUGAGUGAUGUUUCGCUGGCAGAGAAGAUGCAAGUCGCGACCGAGGUGGCGGCCGACAUCUUGACCCUUCUCAUGCAGAAGGGCUAUCUCUGCUGCGUGGACACUGGCUUUGACUGCUACGUCUACACGUGGAACAUUUUCGUCUUUUGACGUAUUUUUGUGCGCGUGUAGGGCCACGAUCGGCUCCGGACAUGUUGAGGAGGGAAAGGGUUGUCCCUUCUCCAUUGCCGCCAAGAUGGUGGGUUCUUGUGGUGCUCGUCUUCUUGCCGUUUGACAGGGACUGCGGUGUGGAGCUGGGCGGCAAGGUGGAGGGACGACGUGUGCGGUGUCCUAUCCGAGUCGCUGCACGCCUCCUUGACUUCCUCGCCCGGGCUCUCCGCGAAAAAAAAGGCAAGAAACGGUCACCCUCAGACGGAGAUGAAGGCGCGCACAUGGAAAGGGUGCUCGCUGACGCUCGACCCGCCACGCCUUUAGACGGGUUUUUUCUGCCCCUCCCUCCCUUUUCUCUCUCUCUCUCGCUUUCCUUUUGUGUUGUUGUUCUUCUUCUGCCCUCCUCUCAGGAAAUGCGCCGGCGCACCCUCCACGUCGUGUGCAGGUACG
rnacentral:misc_RNA from 1 species